rnacentral:miRNA from 1 species
CGUGCGUGUGUGUGUGUGUGUGUGUGUGUGUGCGCGCGCGCACGCGCACACACACUCACACACGCACACACUAA